rnacentral:rRNA from 1 species
UACGAAGGGGGCUAGCGUUGCUCGGAAUCACGGGGCGUAAAGGGUGCGUAGGCGGGUCUUUUAAGUCAGGGGUGAAAUCCUGGAGCUCAACUCCAGAACUGCCUUUGAUACUGAAGAUCUUGAGUUCGGGAGAGGUGAGUGGAACUGCGAGUGUAGAGGUGAAAUUCGUAGAUAUUCGCAAGAACACCAGUGGCGAAGGCGGCUCACUGGCCCGAUACUGACGCUGAGGCACGAAAGCGUGGGGAGCAAACAGG